rnacentral:lncRNA from 1 species
UAAAUUUUUAUUUGAUUUAAUUCUUGUAAAUUAUUAACACAAUUAUUGAUAUAACAUUAUUUCAUAUUUAUAUAUUGCAUACAUAAAUAAUUAUAUUUAUCAAAUAUAAAAAUAAAUUGAUGUAAUUAUUUCUUUAAAUGUGUAUGAUUAAAUUUCUAUUGUAGAAGCCCAAAUUUGCUGGCCCAAAAAAAUAAACAAAUACAACCCAAAACAAAAAUAAACCGUUAACCCAAAUCAGGCCCAAAAAUUAAAAACCUAGCCCACAGCAUUAACAUUUUCAGCAGAAAGGCAUAGCAAACCCUAGCCUCAAGCUAGCCGCCGCCUUUGCCCAAUGCCUCAUCGCGCAUGCCUUCUGCCACCACCGUCGGCCUCGUCUGACACCUGCAGAGAGGAAUGGAUGCAAAGCAACAGAAGAGUACAAAGAAGUAAAAAAGAUGAAAAUGAACAGUUGUAAUUCGGCUAUAAAGGCUGUGAUUCUAUCGUUGUAAUUUUUUUACGAACAUCCAUCAAUAAAUCGUAAAUCAAAAACUGAAGUUCCAAAAAGGUUGUUCUUCUUUAAGAAACUGUUCUCUUCAGUCUCUUUUUCAUAAUUUUUUCUUCUUUUAUUUUAUUGCAAGUUUAUUUUAAAGUAAUUAAAAAAAUAAAAAAAGAGAAAAGAAAAGGGUUACCUGAACCGGCCUUCAGGCCCGCCGUUGAUGGUGCUUCACCGUCGCCGGAUGUGGGUUUGGAGAGGGGCCAAAGCUUUUCUCUUUCCCUUUGCUUCCGUGUUCCAUGGCCUCGAACUCUGAAUGCGCUUCAAUGCGCCGAGAGGAGGCGUCCUCGUAUGGCUCCGGCCACCGAGCAGUGGAGGCGCGACAGCGGCGGGGUUCCUGGUCUGGAACCCUAGCAGAGAAAAGGGAGUCUCCCUUUUUUUUUUUUGUUCUUACGUUCUGUGCACAAAAUGAAACAGC